rnacentral:rRNA from 1 species
AGUGAACGCUGGCGGUAGGCCUAACACAUGCAAGUCGAACGGCAGCACAGUAAGAGGUUGCUCACACGGGUGGCGAGUGGCGGACGCGUGAGGAAUACACCGGAAUCUACUUUUUAGUGGGGGCUAACGUAGGGAAACUUACGCUAAUACCGGAUACAACCUACGGGGGAAAGCAGGGGAUCUUCGGACUUUGCGCGAUUGAAUGAGCCGAUGUCGGAUUAGCUAGUUGGCGGGGUAAAGGCCCAACAAGGCGACGAUCCGUAGCUGGUCUGAGGGGGUGGUCCGCUACACUGUAAGUGAGACACGGCCCCCACUCCUACGCGAGGCAGCAGUGGGGACUAGUGCACAAUGCGCGCGAGGCUGAUACAGGCAAACCGCGUGGAUGAAGAAGCCCUACGGGUUGUAGAGCCCUUCUGUUCGGAAAGUAGAGCAGCAGUUUAAUCCCCCGCGGUACUGACGGUACCCGGAGAAUAAGCACCGGCUAACUCCGUG